rfam:Capsaspora owczarzaki ATCC 30864 unplaced genomic scaffold supercont2.9, whole genome shotgun sequence.
GGAGUUGUAGCUCAGUUGGUAGAGCAUACGACUGAAGAUCGUAUGGCCGCGUGUUCGAUUCACGCCAACUCCA